UGCCUGUCAUGCCAACAUCUUGGGAGAUUAGCUCAGUUAUUAGCAAUCAGAAAUCCCAUUUUCUUUCUUCAAAUGGGUGUCUGGGCUGUAUAAUCCAAAUGUUGAGUCUCUUCUUUAAUCAUGAUAAUGUUCUUGCAAGAAAUAAAUAAUAAUAAAUGACCUAACUAGGCCUUUUGGCUGCUAUUCUGUCAACCAAACCAUUAAAACAUAUGUCAGACCUAAUGUUUGUUUUGUUGAUAUUAUUCACCAAGCCUAUAACUUCAGAUGAAGUCUGCAAGACAGCCUGAUGUCUCAGCAUAGCUUGCUUGGGUAGAUAAAAAAAUUAAUAAACCAUAUCAACCUAAAUGAACCAUUUCAAGAGAGUUUACGCCUCCCUUCCUGCCUCAUUUAUUAAGUAAAGAUCAGCAUGGGGCUUCUGCACAGCAGUGGACAAAAAAUCAGCACGAGAUACAGCAUUUUACAAUUUUCAACGAUUUUUUUUGCCAAGUGGGAACAUUGGCAAAGACACACAUUGGUUAGACUGCACUGACAGCAAGCAAGAGCUGUUGACCAAGUGGAUAAACUCAAUCUAUCCAUCAGACACGAGAAAGAUCUUCCAAAUUUCAGGCUCUACAAGCCAUUUUUCUUAUGGAGGUCCUGACCUGAGAAGCUCAACCUGGAUAACCACAGCCAGAGGGGGAUAAAAUGCAACACCUAGGAGAUUUCAGUAAACAGUAAAACCAUUCCAACUUAAUCUGUGUUAAAAUGCUAGGAAUGUGAGAGCCACCGAUGAUGCCCCUUGUCUGUGUGUCUGACUGAAUCCUUUAUUUUCUGGGAGGAAAGCAGAGCCUGGGAACUAGGCCAGAUGCCUGCCACUUACCUUAAAUUGAUCAGCCACUUUAAGAUUAAAAACACUGAAAACUGCAACUCCAUGAAAACAAGGCU
rnacentral:lncRNA from 1 species